rnacentral:RNase_P_RNA from 1 species
CAGGUAAAACAGACAGUCGCCGCGUAUCGCGUAAGGCAUACGGGGAGGAAAGUCCGGGCUACACAGAGCAGAAUGCCAGCUAACGGCUGGGCGUGGCAACAUGACGGAAAGUGGAGCAGAAAGCAAAACCGCCGAUGAUUGCGUUAUCGCAACAUAGGUAAGGGUGAAAAGGUGCGGUAAGAGCGCACCGCGCAACUGGCAACAGCUUGCGGCAGGCU